rnacentral:lncRNA from 1 species
AAGUGCUGGGAUUACAGGCGUGAGCCACCGCGCCCGGCCAGAAUGAGAUUUUUAACACGAGCAGGAAGCACUCCAUGUAAACCUACUGUUUAAUUGGAUAUUGUACUCAAAGGUGCUUCUCUAAAUGAGCCAGUGAAAACCCAAGUGGGCGUUGGAUAAUACUUAACAGAUAGGGUUGCAUAGUUUCAGUGUAACGGUGCCUCUGUGGGUUACAGCACCAUGGUCAAAACUGGAAAAAUAGUUUCUUAGAAACGAAUAAAGGCAAACUAUGGGAAAAUGGUCAUGGAAGGCUCUCUCACUAAGAAGAAGAAAACUCAGAAUGUCUUGUUAUUAGCAACAUAGAUCUCCAACUAAAGGGCUUACUCAUCCCUGCACUUGUGAUGUCUGCAUGGAGAUGAAACAGAGAUUCAAAAGGGUCAGGUCACUGGCUCCAGGUCAACUCUACUACUAAACAGAAAAGCAAGGACCAAAAUUCAGAUCUUUGUGACCCUCAAUGCCACUAUGCCAUGCGAUGAUGCCUGCCUCUUUUAGAGGCCAACUAAUAGGCCAACUUGAUUUUCUUGAGGAAUGGCCGAAUGGAAGUUGAAUGGUUGAAGGUGACUGGCAAACAGAGAAACAAGGCACCAAGAACUGGCUAUUUCCAAACGUGGGCAAUCAGCUUCUGAAUGAAUAGUUCAGAAUGAUGCAGCUCUGGAUGUUGGAAAGGACAAUUCCGGCGUUUUACUCUUCUGACCAGUUUCUUCGUUUUCAUAACUCUACUUGAAGAACAUAUGAUGUUUGCCAGUGUCUGACAUUACGGACCUCACAGCUUACUGAAUCUGAAAACAGGAGAUAGAGAUGGAAAGAUUUUUAGGAAUCUCCUGGCAGAAGAGCAUUGUUUGUGGCACCUUCCACUUCUGCAGCACUCUUGGAUGCUGACUAUUUACAAGGACUUUCAACUGCCUCCUUCACCCAUCUGGAAAGCCUCAGGAACUUGUUGCAAUAGGGACUGCCAGGUCCCGUUGCACUAUUGGUGGAAGAGAGGUCCACACGGUGCCUACGAUAAGCGAUUUGUUCGUAUCUAUCCAGACUGCAGGUGCAUACAGCCACUCAUCCUCAAAUGCCAUCCUCAGGAGUUUAUGCUGCACACAGACUGGCACAUGUGCAGGAAGACAUAGUGCAGGGCUACGUGCUACAACAUUGUUGGUGACAGCAACAUAUUGGAAGCAACCUGAAUUUUUGUUAAUAGAGGAUUGGCUACAUAAAUGAUGCUAAUCUAUACAACUGGAGUACUAUGAUGCCAUAAAAAAGAAUGUACAAGGUCUUUACGUUUGGAAAGAUCUCUAAGAUAUAAUGAUUUUCUUUGCCUCUCAAGGGAGCUGGGAGAAACUCAAGUCUGAAACUCAAACUCAUCUCAGUCAUUCCUUUCCCUUCAACUAGACCUGAACCUCAGGAGAUCUGGAGUAUGUGCUGAAUUCUACUGGGAACUGAGCCCUCUGAAUAUUAUUAUUGUUUUGCUAAUACUUUUUGCUGGAAAGUACAUCAAACCAGGAUGUGUUGUACCUCUUGCUUUGCCAGACUAUUUAAAAGCAAAAGUGACCAGAUAUCCAACUUAAGGCUGAUCCAGGUUUUUCAUGAUCUAGCCAGGGGAGACAAACCUUCCAGGAAAGUCUCUAGCGAAGGCCAAGGAUUUUAGAAAGUAUCUGUGAACAAAGAAAUGCAAUGUUAGUGGGCUAAUUUCCAUAAUCAAAUGAAGCUGAUGCAAGUGCUUUGUGAAUUGAUGCCCAUCAACGAGAGACUGGAUAAAGAAAAUGUGGCACAUAUACGCCAUGGAAUACUAUGUAGCCGUAAAAAUG